CGGUUGGUUAACUUUAUAAGGAGAAAAUAUUGGUUUGAUUCUAUAUUAAAUAAAAAAUACUCUCAGGUUUUCAUGUUGCACUCAGUAUACGUCCAAUAUUUUUUAAUACGUAUUCGAGUUAAAUAAUGAAGUCAGAUCAUACUUAUUCGUUCAUAGUGUUAAUUUACAUUUUUUGAUUGAGUUAAGCCUGCCAAUUGAUAUUUUAUCGUGUGUUUUUCUAUGUUGUGAUAUUAUGCUAUUGUUUCAGAAAAGGGAGAAGGUUUUGUACCAUUAAAACGUUUAAUCCCGCUGCAAAUGUUUGCACUAUCCUAAGUCAGGAAUCUGAUGUAUAGUAGUUGUCGUUUGUUUAUGUAAUUUAUACGUGUUUCUCGUUUCUCGUUUUUUAUAUAGAUUAGACCGUUGGUUUUCCCGUUUGAAUGGUUUUACACUAGUAAUUUUGUGGCCCUUUAUAACUUGUUGUUCGGUGUGAGCCAGGGCUCCGUGUUGAAGGCCGUAAAUUGACCUAUAAUGGUUUACUUUUAUAAAUUGUUAUUUGGAUGGAGAGUUGUCUCAUUGGCACUCACACCACAUCGUCCUAUAUCUGAUUAAAAAAAUAUGUUCAUUUGUUGUGGUUGUAGUUGUUGAUGAUGUUGUUUAAAAAAAAUCAAAAGAUAAAACAAAUUUGCAGACGUCAAACAAAAUUUUAUGAUGAAAUAGAUAAAUCACUUGAAACAAUUGAACUGCAUUUCCGUAUGAAUAUAUUUCUAGUUCUAGAAAUGAAACCCUGAAAGUGCAAAACGUUUGAAAUACUAUCAUGUGGAUGGUGUGUGUGUAUUCAUAUAUGCAGUGCAACACGUUUAAAAUAUGCCAGUGCAGAGCAAGUGCGUGUAUUCAUUUAUGUUGCUUCUUAUUGAAAUUAAAAAGAUCACUUUAUAAUGGUUGACAUGUUAAUCCUUUUAAGGUGGCUCGGGUAUCCAUCUUGGAUUUUGAAGUAGUAGAUGAUAACAGGUUGUCUAGAUCUUUAAUGAAAUUUGCAAAUUUUGAAAGUAAUAUGUAAUUCAUGUGCAAGUCUUUUGAUGUAAAUAUAAUUUUUGUUUGUGUUUUAUCAUAUUUACGGCUGUAAUUUCUAUUAAAAAAGCAUAUAUUUUUGUUUGAUUCAUUUUCUUUCAAUUUUCCAAAUAAAGGGAGAUAACUUAGAUAAAGUAAUCUUAUAAUAGAAAGUGUUGUGAAUUUACCUAUUUCAAUAUGUAUCAAGAAAGCAAGUUCGGCGACCCCAUUUGUUCUUUUUUCUACUUUGAGAGCUUGUUUUGUCUUAAAAUUCUAUCAUACAGUUUCAAAUCGAGCAUAAAAAGGGUUCAUCUUCUAGUAAAUUAAUUUUGUUAAUUAUUAAAUAUUCUUAGAGUAACAUUUUGGCGAUCACUGCUACAAAUAAUAGGCUCUAUGCUUCUUAGAGCAACGUUUUGGGACUAACUUCUCCACUGAUGGGCACCAUUACCCAUUAAUAUCUCAAUCUCCAAUGACAAGGCUCCAAACUCCGUCGAUAUGGAUAUGAGCCAAAGAAACUGUGCAGCCUAUGUUGUCACCCCAAAAUUAAUACUAUCACCGUGCAUAGUGCUCUUUGUUAUCUUUUAUUAUACUGGGCCUUUCAGGACGAAUCAAUUGAAGUAUACAGUUAUUAUUGUUCAUACAAUAUCGGAAAUAAGAAGAUUAUUAAUAAAUUUCUUACCCUUUGAUGUAUCAGAAACAAUUCACAUUCAGUACUGUAUCAUUUGGUGGUAAAACAUAAUUUGGGAAUUUAAAGUAGUCUGUAUCGUGUGAGUAGAUCUCUGAUGUCAGAUACAGCCUUUUAUCAUAUACCAUUCGGAAAUCGAUCACAACACUUUCA
rnacentral:lncRNA from 1 species